CCGGAAUUUUUCAGUGUAUUCAGGUGGAGAAGUGCUGGUGGCCGGCUUACUAUUAUGCGGUGGUGGUGGUGGUGGAUUAGGUUUAUGUCUCUUAUUGGGAUCUUCAUGCGCGGGGUUGGUAGUGGUUAGUAGAGUUAACAUGGUGGUGGUGGACGGCGGAGGAGGUAGGAAGGGAGUGGUGGUUCCAGGCUGCCGGAGCACCGGAGAAAAGAAGUCUUGGAAGUGGUUAGGGGUGGGAGAUGGGAGGCCGCUGAUUUCAUUCCAUACAUCAUCCAUCGGCUUCAUUGAGAAGAGCGGAGGUGGAGGGUGAGGGUACGGGUGGAGAUGGGGGUGGGAGUGGGAGAGAGGACAUGC
rnacentral:lncRNA from 1 species